UAGAUGUUGUCCCUGGGACAUCGUGUAGAUGUUGUCCCUGGGACAUUGUGUGAUAGCUUGUAAAUAAUGGAAUGAAAAUUAUUGAUUGUUAUUAACUUGUGAAAAAGAAGUGUAACAAAUCCACAUGUUAUGUUCUUACACCCUUACAGAAACUGUGACUCCUUCACAAUGUCAGAUUACCUUGUGGGAGUAGCUGGACCAAACUCUAUUGGUAUUUCAAGUUUGAAAUCCCUGUUUGACCAGACUAACAUUUCAGAUGAGGUAAUAGAUGGCCUAAUCUA